rnacentral:rRNA from 1 species
GAUGAACGCUGGCGGCGUGCCUAAUACAUGCAAGUCGAGCGAACGGACGAGAAGCUUGCUCCUCUGAUGUUAGCGGCGGACGGGUGAGUAACACGUGGAUAAUCUACCUAUAAGACUGGGAUAACUUCGGGAAACCGUAGCUAAUACCGGAUAAUACUUUGAACCGCAUGGUUCAAAAGUGAAAGAUGGUCUUGCUGUAAUUUACAGAGGGAUCCGCGCUGCAUUAGCUAGUUGGUAAGGUAACGCCUUACCAAGGCAACGAUCCGUAGCCGACCUGAGAGGGUGAUCGGCCACACUGGAACGGAGACACGGUCCAGACUCCUACGGGAGGCAGCAGUGGGGAAUCUUCGGCAAAGGGCGAAAGCCUGACGGAGCAAGGCCGCGUGGGUGAUGAAGGUCUUCGGAUCGUAAAACUCUGUUGUUGGGAAAGAACAUAUGUGUAGGUAACUGUGCACAUCUUGACGGUACCUAAUCAGAAAGCCACGGCUAACUACGUG